AGCCAGGUGCAUCGGGGAAAGCACUGACAUUGGAGUCAGACAGACUGAAGUUCAUAUCUGAUUCUGCUAUAUGACAACGUGUGGGCUAUGUGGCUAACUUCUCAGAGCUUCAGUUUUCUCAAGGGCAAAAUGAAAAUAAUAGAAAUAAUAGAAUCCACCUCACAGGGCUGUGAAAUUAAAGGGGAUGAAAGAUACAUUGGUCCCUGCAGUGGGAAGUUUCCUUGACAAUGCAAUUAUUGAUUCCAGAGCUUUCAUGGUGAAAGAAGAGGGCAAAACUCAACCCGUCUCUUUAGACUUGGGAAGAAUAUGAAAGGACCAGGAGGGACACCUUUCCUAAUAACCUAGCUGAUGGUUCACUUAUUAGGCUGGAAAGCUGAAAAAUGACAUUCCCAGACUCCAUUGAAAUUAGAUUUCCAGAGGUGAUUUAUGUUCCACACAUCAGAUGUAUAUGCUCAAGAUUUGUUUAACAGGGAAGGAGGCAGUGGUGUGUGGGUCCCUUUUGCUCAUGUGAAUCUUACAGAGUUGUCUCACUAAGCCCAAAUUUGUCUAACUGGCCUUAUUUCCCUGGAGUAUAUCCUGGAAGUUUCCAUUCAAGCCAAUUUAAGUUACUUUAAAUUAGGAAAGGCAGAAAACAAAAGCCCAAACCUUUGUAAAGGAGGAGGAUUUGCUACAUUGUUCUCAAUUCAUCACAGAAGAGGAUGAAACUGAGUGAUUACACUUGCUGGAGAGAAAAAAAGUCCUUCCCCCGCUCACCCCAAAUAAAGCAUUAACUUUAUGUUAAUCCAUGAA
ensembl:lncRNA ZRANB2-DT ZRANB2 divergent transcript